UAGGGAAUCUUCGGCAAUGGGGGCAACCCUGACCGAGCAACGCCGCGUGAGUGAAGAAGGUUUUCGGAUCGUAAAGCUCUGUUGUAAGUCAAGAACGAGUGUGAGAGUGGAAAGUUCACACUGUGACGGUAGCUUACCAGAAAGGGACGGCUAACUACGUGCCAGCAGCCGCGGUAAUACGUAGGUCCCGAGCGUUGUCCGGAUUUAUUGGGCGUAAAGCGAGCGCAGGCGGUUUGAUAAGUCUGAAGUUAAAGGCUGUGGCUCAACCAUAGUUCGCUUUGGAAACUGUCAAACUUGAGUGCAGAAGGGGAGAGUGGAAUUCCAUGUGUAGCGGUGAAAUGCGUAGAUAUAUGGAGGAACACCGGUGGCGAAAGCGGCUCUCUGGUCUGUAACUGACGCUGAGGCUCGAAAGCGUGGGGAGCAAACAGGAUUAGAUACCCUGGUAGUCCACGCCGUNNCGAUGAGUGCUAGGUGUUAGGCCCUUUCCGGGGCUUAGUGNCGCAGCUAACGCAUUAAGCACUCCGCCUGGGGAGUACNACCGCAAGGNU
rnacentral:rRNA from 1 species